rnacentral:rRNA from 1 species
UACGAAGGGGGGCUAGCGUUGCUCGGAAUCACUGGGCGUAAAGCGCACGUAGGCGGAUCGUUAAGUCAGGGGUGAAAUCCUGGAGCUCAACUCCAGAACUGCCUUUGAUACUGGCGACCUAGAGUCCGGAAGAGGUGAGUGGAACUCCUAGUGUAGAGGUGGAAUUCGUAGAUAUUAGGAAGAACACCAGUGGCGAAGGCGGCUCACUGGUCCGGUACUGACGCUAAGGUGCGAAAGCGUGGGGAGCAAACAGG